rnacentral:siRNA from 1 species
UCGAGUGAUGCGAUCGAGUGAUGG